ACUCAAAGGAAUAGACGGGGGCCCGCACAAGCGGUGGAGUAUGUGGUUUAAUUCGAAGCAACGCGCAGAACCUUACCUGGGCUUAACAUCCACUGACAAUCUCAGAGAUGAGACUUUCCCUUCGGGGACAGUGAGAUAGGUGCUGCAUGGCUGUCGUCAGCUCGUGUCGUAAGAUGUUGGGUUAAGUCCCGCAACGAGCGCAACCCUUGUCUUUAGUUGCCAGCAUUAAGUUGGGCACUCUGAAGAGACUGCCGGUGUUAAACCGGAGGAAGGCGGGGAUGACGUCAAGUCCUCAUGGCCCUUACGUCCAGGGCUACACACGUACUACAAUGGCAGAGACAAAGCGUCGCGAAGCCGCGAGGUGGAGCUAAUCGCAAAAACACUGUCUCAGUCCGGAUUGAAGUCUGCAACUCGACUUCAUGAAGCUGGAAUCGCUAGUAAUCGCAGAUCAGCACGCUGCGGUGAAUACGUUCCCGGGCCUUGUACACACCGCCCGU
rnacentral:rRNA from 1 species